AAAACACUCAACUUGCGGAGAUAGGAAAUGUACUCACAUAUCGUACUACGGUUCGACAAAAUGUAUCCCGCAAGUCAAAUUGUUCAAACCUUUCAAACACUACGGUGUUGAGUACAAGAAGUCGAAGAAAACUUGUGGUGACGACAAAAGGAACUAUGGACGAGGGGAUAUCCUGGUUCCAGACCCGCACAGAUCACACGAUUUAAUCGAUGACUCUUGCAAAUGUCAAACUAUCUGGUGCUUGGAUGAAAUUAUGACAAUUUAUGAAAAAGGUGGCAAAUUGUUCAAAGGAAACGUCACAGUGAAGACUCCGUGCAAAUGUGAAUGCAGAAAGAGAUUCAUUAUGAUGGGACCUCAUGGCGGCGGC